rnacentral:tRNA from 1 species
GGGGCGGUAGCUCAGUCGGUUAGAGCCGUGGACUCAUAAUCCAUUGGUCGCGGGUUCGAGCCCCGCCCGCCCCACAAAUG